rnacentral:lncRNA from 1 species
CCAGAGGGCGCCCCAGGGAGCAGGAAUUACACAGAGACCUUGAGCCUGCACAGUGCUGUGUGACAACAGGGGAGGAGACAGGCACAUUUCAAGGCCGACUUCCAGAGAUUUCUGAAAUGUUAGAGGUAGAGUCACCUUGGGAGAGUGAGCCUCCAUCGGAUUGCUUGGGAAUGCUUGGAAAUUGCUGGGAGAAAAUGCCUCUAUUGGAUUGCUUGAAAACUAGGAAUGCAACGUGACCCCCACCUCAUACUCCUGCUGCCGUGAUUUCCGUGCCAUGGUGGACUAUACCUUGGAACUGCGAACCCAAAUGCAUCUUUCCUUCCUUAUGUUGCCUUUGUUAGACAUUCUGUCAUAACAGUGAGAAAAGUAACUGCAGGAUGUACAUUACAUGCCCCUUCUUGGAAUACUGAGGCGUGUUUCCUCUUUGCUCUCUGCACUCUUUAAAUCCAUCUCUUUUCCUUUAUCCGCAAUUCUUUUCUUUUUUAUCUU